GCUGGCGGCAUGCCUAACACAUGCAAGUCGAACGGAAACGACAGGAGCUUGCUCCUGGGCGUCGAGUGGCGGACGGGUGAGUAAUGCAUAGGAAUCUGCCCAUGUAGUGGGGGACAACCUGGGGAAACUCAGGCUAAUACCGCAUGAGCCCUUCGGGGGAAAGCAGGGGAUCUUCGGACCUUGCGCUAUUGGAUGAGCCUAUGCCUGAUUAGCUUGCUGGUGGGGUAACGGCCUACCAAGGCGACGAUCAGUAGCUGGUCUGAGAGGACGAUCAGCCACACUGGGACUGAGACACGGCCCAGACUCCUACGGGAGGCAGCAGUGGGGAAUAUUGGACAAUGGGCGCAAGCCUGAUCCAGCAAUGCCGCGUGUGUGAAGAAGGCCUGCGGGUUGUAAAGCACUUUCAGUGGGGAGGAAAAGCUCAAGGUUAAUACCCUUGGGUCUUGACGUUAUCCACAGAAGAAGCACCGGCUAACUCUGUGCCAGCAGCCGCGGUAAUACAGAGGGUGCAAGCGUUAAUCGGAAUUACUGGGCGUAAAGCGCGCGUAGGCGGUUUGUUAAGUCGGAUGUGAAAGCCCC
rnacentral:rRNA from 1 species